UGAGAUCUUGUUUUGAAAGUCAUUUGUAGAGUUAUAAGGUUGAAGUAUUAAAAGUAUUUUUAAAAUUAAAAAAUUUAGUAUAAAUGGAUUGAAAUAUAAUUUAGUUAGGCUAUAGUAUAAAGUACUGUAAAGGAAUGAUGAAAUAAUAUUAAAAUUUAAUUAGUUAAAAGUAAGGCUAAAAUUUUGUACCUUGUGUAUAAGGGAAGAUUAAAUUUUUUUUUUUAUUAAGGAAUCCCGAAAAAAAAAGAGUUAAUAUAAAGUAAAAGUUUUCGUUUCAAUGAAAUUUUUAAUUUUAUAUUAGUGGUGAUAUGCCAGCCGAUUUUUUAUAUCUGGUUAUUAAUGAAAUAAAUUUAAUUUAAUUAUUAAUUGAAAUAAAUGUGUUUAAUUAAUAGUAAAGAAUAGGAGGGAAAAGCUUCUUGUUCUAUAAUAGGUAAACUGUAAUUUAAGAUUAAAAAGUGUGUAAUGUAGGAUUAGGCUUAAAAGCAGCAAAAUUAGUAAAGCGUUCUAGCUAAUAUAAGUAAUAUUGAAAUAAAGGGUUGUUAAUAUUUUUAUAAAAGUUCAGUUGUUAGAGUAAUUAAUAUUUUAAUUAAAUAUGAGAUUUAAAGUUAAAAUGAUUUUAUUAGUAGAAAUGUUUGUGAAGAGAAAGUUAAUAUAAUAAAAUGAGAAUAAGAAGUUUAGUUGAUUUAGUAUAUAAUUAAGGAACUCGGCAAAUAUUGUUUUUCGCCUGUUUAUCAAAAACAUGUCUGUAUGAUGGUUAUAUAGAGUCUGGCCUGCCCACUGACUUCGGUUGAAGGGCCGCGGUAUUUUGACCGUGCGAAGGUAGCAUAAUCAUUAGUCUUUUAAUUGGAGGCUUGUAUGAAUGGUUGAACAAAAAAUAAGCUGUCUCGAUUAUAAAAAUUGAAUUUAACUUUUAAGUGAAAAGGCUUAAAUGAUAUAGGGUGACGAUAAGACCCUAUAAAACUUUACAAUUAUUUAAUUGAAUGAUGAAUUGUUAGUAUAAAUUUGAUUCAAUUAAUGUUUGUUUCGUUGGGGCGACGAAAAUAUAAUUUUAUAACUGUUUUAUAAUUUUGUAACAAUGAUUUUUGGUGAAGAUGAUCCUUUAUUAGAGAUUAAAAGAUUAAGUUACUUUAGGGAUAACAGCGUAAUCUUCUUUGAAAGUUCAUAUCGACAAGAAAGGGUUGCGACCUCGAUGUUGAAUUAAGGUUUCUUUGUGGUGCAGUAGUUACAGUGAGAAGGUCUGUUCGACCUUUAAUUCCUUACAUGAUUUGAGUUCAGACCGGAUGUGAGCCAGGUCGGUUUCUAUCUCCUAUAAAUUUAAGAUCAUUUUAGUACGAAAGGAUUGGAUGAUUGGAAUAAUUUUAAGAUGAAGAAUAAUAAUAAUUG
rnacentral:rRNA from 1 species